UACGGGGGGGGCAAGCGUUGUUCGGAAUUACUGGGCGUAAAGGGCGCGUAGGCGGCCUGCUAAGUCGAACGUGAAAUCCCUGGGCUCAACCCAGGAACUGCGUCCGAUACUGGUUGGCUUGAAUCCGGGAGAGGGAUGUGGAAUUCCAGGUGUAGCGGUGAAAUGCGUAGAUAUCUGGAGGAACACCGGUGGCGAAGGCGACAUCCUGGACCGGUAUUGACGCUGAGGCGCGAAAGCCAGGGGAGCAAACGGG
rnacentral:rRNA from 1 species